rnacentral:rRNA from 1 species
GACAGAGGGGGCAAGCGUUGCUCGGAAUCACUGGGCGUAAAGGGCGCGUAGGCGGGAUGGCAAGUCAGUCGUGAAAUCUCUCGGCUCAACCGAGAAACGUCGGCUGAUACUGCCGUUCUUGAGGGAUGCAGAGGAGACUGGAAUUCCCGGUGUAGCGGUGAAAUGUGUAGAGAUCGGGAGGAACACCGGUGGCGAAGGCGGGUCUCUGGGCAUUUCCUGACGCUGAGGCGCGAAAGCGUGGGGAGUGAACAGG